rnacentral:rRNA from 1 species
AAAGGAAUAGACGGGGGCCCGCACAAGCAGCGGAGCAUGUGGUUUAAUUCGAAGCAACGCGAAGAACCUUACCAGGUCUUGACAUCCAGUAAAACUUGUAGAGAUAUGAGGUGCCUUCGGGCAUACUGAGACAGGUGGUGCAUGGUUGUCGUCAGCUCGUGUCGUGAGAUGUUGGGUUAAGUCCCGCAACGAGCGCAACCCUUGCCGAUAGUUACUAACGGGUGAAGCCGAGGACUCUAUUGGGACCGCCGGGGACAACUCGGAGGAAGGUGGGGACGACGUCAAAUCAUCAUGCCCCUUAUGACCUGGGCUACACACGUGCUACAAUGGCCGAGACAGAGAGGAGCGAAGGCGCGAGCCGGAGCGGAUCUCAAAAAAGCGGUCACAGUUCGGAUUGUGGGCUGCAACCCGCCCACAUGAAGCAGGAGUUGCUAGUAAUCGCGAAUCAGCAUGUCGCGGUGAAUACGUUCCCGGGCCUUGUACACACCGCCCGU